UAGGGAAGAUUGGUCAAUGGACGCAAGUCUGAACCAGCCAUGCCGCGUGAAGGAUGAAGGUCCUCUGGAUUGUAAACUUCUUUUAUCUGGGACGAAAACGGGAUUUUUAUCUCAAUUGACGGUACCAGAGGAAUAAGCACCGGCUAACUCCGUGCCAGCAGCCGCGGUAAUACGGAGGGUGCGAGCGUUAUCCGGAUUUACUGGGUUUAAAGGGUGCGUAGGUGGGCUUAUAAGUCAGUGGUGAAAUCUCCGAGCUUAACUUGGAAACUGCCGUUGAUACUAUAGGUCUUGAAUUAUCUGGAGGUAAGCGGAAUAUGUCAUGUAGCGGUGAAAUGCUUAGAUAUGACAUAGAACACCAAUUGCGAAGGUAGCUUACUACAUAUAAAUUGACGCUGAGGCACGAAAGCGUGGGGAUCAAACG
rnacentral:rRNA from 1 species